GCGCUCGUAGCUCAGUUGGAUAGAGCAGCGGAUUUCUAAUCCGCGGGUCGCAGGUUCAAAUCCUGCCGAGCGUACCA
rnacentral:tRNA from 1 species